UGGGGAAUAUUGGACAAUGGGCGAAAGCCUGAUCCAGCCAUGCCGCGUGUGUGAAGAAGGUCUUCGGAUUGUAAAGCACUUUAAGUUGGGAGGAAGGGCAUUAACCUAAUACGUUAGUGUUUUGACGUUACCGACAGAAUAAGCACCGGCUAACUCUGUGCCAGCAGCCGCGGUAAUACAGAGGGUGCAAGCGUUAAUCGGAAUUACUGGGCGUAAAGCGCGCGUAGGUGGUUUGUUAAGUUGGAUGUGAAAUCCCCGGGCUCAACCUGGGAACUGCAUUCAAAACUGACUGACUAGAGUAUGGUAGAGUGUGGUUGAAUUUCCUGUGUAGCGGUGAAAUGCGUAGAUAUAGGAAGGAACACCAGUGGCGAAGGCGACCACCUGGACUAAUACUGACACUGAGGUGCGAAAGCGUGGGGAGCAAACA
rnacentral:rRNA from 1 species